GGCAACGAUCAGUAGCCGGUCUGAGAGGAUGAACGGCCACAUUGGAACUGAGACACGGUCCAAACUCCUACGGGAGGCAGCAGUGGGGAAUAUUGCACAAUGGGGGAAACCCUGAUGCAGCAACGCCGCGUGAGUGAAGAAGUAUUUCGGUAUGUAAAGCUCUAUCAGCAGGGAAGAUAAUGACGGUACCUGACUAAGAAGCUCCGGCUAAAUACGUGCCAGCAGCCGCGGUAAUACGUAUGGAGCAAGCGUUAUCCGGAUUUACUGGGUGUAAAGGGUGCGUAGGUGGCAGUGCAAGUCAGAUGUGAAAGGCCGGGGCUCAACCCCGGAGCUGCAUUUGAAACUGCAUAGCUAGAGUACAGGAGAGGCAGGCGGAAUUCCUAGUGUAGCGGUGAAAUGCGUAGAUAUUAGGAGGAACACCAGUGGCGAAGGCGGCCUGCUGGACUGUUACUGACACUGAGGCACGAA
rnacentral:rRNA from 1 species